GGUGAACGCUGGCGGCGUGCCUAAGACAUGCAAGUCGAGCGGGGCAGGUUUAUACCUGUUCAGCGGCGGACGGGUGAGUAACGCGUGGGUGACCUACCCGGAAGAGGCGGACAACCUGGGGAAACCCAGGCUAAUCCGCCAUGUGGUCCUAUCCUGUGGGGUAGGACUAAAGGGGCGACCCGCUUCCGGAUGGGCCCGCGUCCCAUCAGCUAGUUGGUGGGGUAAAGGCCCACCAAGGCGACGACGGGUAGCCGGUCUGAGAGGAUGGCCGGCCACAGGGGCACUGAGACACGGGUCCCACUCCUACGGGAGGCAGCAGUUAGGGAUCUUCCGCAAUGGACGGAAGUCUGACGGAGCGACGCCGCUUGGAGGAGGAAGCCCUUCGGGGUGUAAACUCCUGAACUGGGGACGAAAGCCCUGUGUAGGGGGAUGACGGUACCCAGGUAAUAGCGCCGGCCAACUCCGUG
rnacentral:rRNA from 1 species